UACGUAGGGCGCGAGCGUUGUCCGGAAUUAUUGGGCGUAAAGAGCUCGUAGGCGGCUUGUUGCGUCUGCUGUGAAAUCCCGGGGCUUAACCCCGGGCGUGCAGUGGAUACGGGCAGGCUGGAGGCAGGCAGGGGAGAAUGGAAUUCCCGGUGUAGCGGUGAAAUGCGCAGAUAUCGGGAGGAACACCGGUGUCGAAGGCGGUUCUCUGGGCCUGUUCUGACGCUGAGGAGCGAAAGCGUGGGGAGCGAACAGG
rnacentral:rRNA from 1 species